rnacentral:lncRNA from 1 species
UGUACACGCACGAUCAUGGGGUAGAACGGCCACUGAAGGUAGAAGAGGGUCAGAAGUCUGAACUUGAAGUUGAAGGUCCCGCAGUGGACAAUGUUGGUGGAAUCGGGCGAUUCACCAGGAGUGGUAGACUGUUCUCACCACCCGUUACCCAAACUGAUAGUGCUGAUGCUGCGGCGAAAGCCAAAGGCAAGCAAGUCGUG